AUGUGUGCAAGAACUAUAUACUGUAUAAAUAUUGACAAGACGAACUAUAUACUUUAGUUUCUUUAUCAAUAUGCUGGUUUGGGAAGGCAGAGCCGAAUAGAGAAUGGAUAUCUGAUUCUGAUCUUGAUAUGCUAAAAACUGAUUCGGAAAGACAAGAGUUACAUUAAAAAAUUGUUCAUUCACCAGAUAAACUACAGGAAAGGGGAAUCUGCCAUCAAGGAUAUAUUACAUGUAUACAACUUCAGACUGAUGAGACCUGGUACUAGAAUGUUUGGUGUUAUGGAACUAUAAGGCAUUUCCAGAGUGUGUGUUCAAUAGAGAGAUGAACAAAUACUAAAGGAGCUAUGAGAGCUGGAGUGAAAAUAGUCAGGGUCAAUAUCAUCAAUAUCUCCUGUAAAGGUUAAGUCCAUAAAGCUCAGUGAUUGUGUACAUAGCUAAAGUCUCUCUGUACUCAAUCCAGGCAAAAAGUUCUGGAAUGUCUUUCAUCUGCAGCCUAUGCGUGAUCAAAAAUAUUGUAUUGGAGUACAACUUGAUGGCAGUCAGCACAUUGAGCCUCUGCAUAACUCUAUUCCUGAAGUUACAGUAAAAGAGAGUGAAAAACUGGUCAAAGAGACUGCAGUUAAUGUUGAUGAGGCAGCAAGAGAGAAAUGGAAAGCGAACUUGCUGAAGAAAAUGCAGUAGUGUGUGAUGCAGAAAUGAAAAGUGAAUUUGCUGCAGAACUAGCACAAGGAGAUGC